rnacentral:rRNA from 1 species
AUUGAACGCUGGCGGCAUGCCUUACACAUGCAAGUCGAACGGCAGCACGGGAGCAAUCCUGGUGGCGAGUGGCGAACGGGUGAGUAAUAUAUCGGAACGUGCCCAGUCGUGGGGGAUAACGCAGCGAAAGCUGUGCUAAUACCGCAUACGAUCUAUGGAUGAAAGUGGGGGACCGCAAGGCCUCGCGCGAUUGGAGCGGCCGAUAUGAGAUUAGCUGGUUGGUGGGGUAAAGGCCCACCAAGGCGACGAUCUGUAGCUGGUCUGAGAGGACGACCAGCCACACUGGAACUGAGACACGGUCCAGACUCCUACGGGAGGCAGCAGUGGGGAAUUUUGGACAAUGGGCGCAAGCCUGAUCCAGCAAUGCCGCGUGCAGGAUGAAGGCCUUCGGGUUGUAAACUGCUUUUGUACGGAACGAAACGGUGAGCUUUAAUACAGUUUGCUAAUGACGGUACCGUAAGAAUAAGCACCGGCUAACUACGUGCCAGCCGCCGCCGUAA